UGGGGAAUAUUGGACAAUGGGCGGAAGCCUGAUCCAGCAACGCCGCGUGAGGGAUGACGGCCUUCGGGUUGUAAACCUCUUUCGCCUGUGACGAAGCGAGCCUUUGGGUGAGUGACGGUAGCGGGUAAAGAAGCACCGGCCAACUACGUGCCAGCAGCCGCGGUAAUACGUAGGGUGCGAGCGUUGUCCGGAAUUAUUGGGCGUAAAGGGCUCGUAGGCGGUUUGUCGCGUCGGGAGUGAAAACCAGGUGCUUAACACCUGGCUUGCUUUCGAUACGGGCAGACUAGAGGUAUUCAGGGGAGAACGGAAUUCCUGGUGUAGCGGUGAAAUGCGCAGAUAUCAGGAGGAACACCGGUGGCGAAGGCGGUUCUCUGGGAAUGACCUGACGCUGAGGAGCGAAAGUGUGGGGAGCGAACAGG
rnacentral:rRNA from 1 species